rnacentral:rRNA from 1 species
AGGGAAUAGAUACCCGGGUAGUCCACGCCGUAAACGAUGGAUGCUAGCUGUUAUGAGUAUCGACCCUCGUAGUAGCGUAGCUAACGCGUUAAGCAUCCCGCCUGUGGAGUACGGUCGCAAGACUAAAACAUAAAGGAAUUGACGGGGACCCGCACAAGCGGUGGAGCGUGUUGUUUAAUUCGAUGGUAAGCGAAGAACCUUACCCAGGCUUGACAUCCUGCCAAGUUCGCCGAAAGGCGAGUGUGCCUUCGGGCCGCAGUGACAGGUGAUGCAUGGCCGUCGUCAGCUCGUGUCGUGAGAUGUUUGGUUAAGUCCAUCAACGAGCGCAACCCUUAUAGUUAGUUGUAUUUCUCUAGCUAGACUGCCCUGGUAACAGGGAGGAAGGGGGGAUGAUGUCAGGUCAGUAUUUCCCUUACGUCUGGGGCUACAAACACGCUACAAUGGCCGGUACAAAGGGCUGCCAACCCGCGAGGGGAGCAAAUCCCAUCAAAGCCGGUCUCAGUUCGGAUUGUAGGCUGAAACUCGCCUGCAUGAAG